GGUGACCAGCGGAGGGAUCAUUACCGAGUUUACAACUCCCAAACCCAUGUGAACAUACCUUUACGUUGCUUCGGCGGAGCCGCCCCGGCGCCCGGAACCUCUUCGGUUUCGCGGCCCGGAACCAGGCGCCCGCCGGAGGCCACAAACUCUUUUGUUUUUACAGUUUCUUCUGAGUGUGCCGCAAGGCAAAAUACAAAUGAAUCAAAACUUUCAACAACGGAUCUCUUGGUUCUGGCAUCGAUGAAGAACGCAGCGAAAUGCGAUAAGUAAUGUGAAUUGCAGAAUUCAGUGAAUCAUCGAAUCUUUGAACGCACAUUGCGCCCGCCAGAAUUCUGGCGGGCAUGCCUGUUCGAGCGUCAUUUCAACCCUCGAGCUCCCCUCUUUUGGGAGAGCCCGGCGUUGGGGACCCGGCGCUAACACCGCCGGCCCCGAAAUGGAGUGGCGGCCCGUCCGCGGCGACCUCUGCGUAGUAAUAUCCACUCGCACCGGGACCCGGGCGCGGCCACGCCGUAAAACACCCCACCUUCCGAAUGUUGACCUCGAAUCAGGUAGGAAUACCCGCUGAACUUAAGCAUAUCAAUAAGCGGAGGAAAAGAAACCAACAGGGAUUGCCCCAGUAACGGCGAGUGAAGCGGCAACAGCUCAAAUUUGAAAUCUGGUCCCCAGGGCCCGAGUUGUAAUUUGUAGAGGAUGCUUUUGGCGAGGCGCCUUCCGAGUUCCCUGGAACGGGACGCCACAGAGGGUGAGAGCCCCGUCUG
rnacentral:sRNA from 1 species